UAAGGAAUAUUGGGCAAUGGACGCAAGUCUGACCCAGCCAUGCCGCGUGGAGGAUGAAGGUCCUCUGGAUUGUAAACUUCUUUUAUCUGGGAAGAAACCCACGGUUUCUACUGUGGUUGACGGUACCAGAUGAAUAAGCACCGGCUAACUCCGUGCCAGCAGCCGCGGUAAUACGGAGGGUGCAAGCGUUAUCCGGAUUCACUGGGUUUAAAGGGUGCGUAGGCGGAUUGGGAAGUCCGUGGUGAAAUCCCCGAGCUUAACUCGGGAACUGCCGUAGAUACUCUCAGUCUUGAAUAUCGUGGAGGUAAGCGGAAUAUGUCAUGUAGCGGUGAAAUGCUUAGAGAUGACAUAGAACACCAAUUGCGAAGGCAGCUUACUACACGGUCAUUGACGCUGAGGCACGAAAGCGUGGGGAUCAAACA
rnacentral:rRNA from 1 species